rnacentral:tRNA from 1 species
GAUUCCGUAGCUCAGCUGGUAGAGCAUAACACUUUUAAUGUUAGGGUCCUGGGUUCGAAUCCCAGCGGAAUCACGA